rnacentral:lncRNA from 1 species
AUAGAUUCGAAGGCAAGUAUUUUCUUUCUUAAUUGCCUUCCAACUUUGUCUCAAUUUAAAAAGUUUCAGCUCAUUUUGUAUUGUCUUUAUAAAGGGUUUGUGAUUAAUUGAUUGUUGGUUGCUUAACGUUCAUUGGCAAAUAUUUCAUGUAUGUUGGAUGGGUACUUAUUACUACUCUACGGAAGUACCAGUUGUUGUUUCAGGGAGAAUGGGGGAUAGGAUUAAAUUUUUAAAAGACAGGACAGGCGUUUUGAGUUAAGAAAAGGCAGAAUGAGCAACUUGGCAAAAAAAAAAAAAAAACCUAAAAUUUAACUUGCGUUACUAUGUAUAUAUUAUCAAUCUAGAAUCGAAUGAACUGGUAUAACCCUCAGCCCCUUUUUCUAGACCACCCACUCCUGCGCGCUUACACCUUUUAUGUCUUAUGACAGGUUUUAGCCAGCAAUAAUAUCACACAAGCAAUUGUCGUAUAGGAUGUUACUUAAUGAUGUUCUAGAUAAAUGUAAUUUAAAUUAACCAAGACGCACAAGAUUUAUAAAUCUUACAUAUUUAAAUCUAUAAUCAAUGUUUUGACACCGUCCCCAA